ensembl:misc_RNA Metazoa_SRP Metazoan signal recognition particle RNA
GCCAGGCGUGGUGGCGAACAUCUGUAAUCCCAGCUACUUGGGAGGCUGAGGUGGGAGAAUUGCUUGAACCCAGGAGGUGGAGUUGCAGUGGGCCCAAAUUGCAGCACUGCACUCCAGCCUGGGUGACAGAGCGAGACUCCAUCUCAA